rnacentral:tRNA from 1 species
UCUACUAAAGGAAAAUAGCCCUCCACUGAUCUUAGGAGUCAAACUCCU